rnacentral:rRNA from 1 species
UACGGACGCGACGACCGGCGUUGUGGGAACGAAAGGGCCUUCGGGUCGUAAACCACUGUCGAAGGGUAAGAUAUUGACGGUACCGUUUCGAGGUAAGCCCCGGCUAAACUUACCGUGC